rnacentral:rRNA from 1 species
CUCCCGGCCGCCAUGGCGGCCGCGGGAAUUCNNNNGCCUACGGGAGGCAGCAGUGGGGAAUUUUCCGCAAUGGGCGAAAGCCUGACGGAGCAACGCCGCGUGAGGGACGAAGGCCUCUGGGCUGUAAACCUCUUUUCUCAAGGAAGAAGAUAUGACGGUACUUGAGGAAUAAGCCACGGCUAAUUCCGUGCCAGCAGCCGCGGUAAUACGGGUGUGGCAAGCGUUAUCCGGAAUUAUUGGGCGUAAAGCGUCCGCAGGCGGCUUUUCAAGUCUGCUGUUAAAGCGUGGAGCUUAACUCCAUCAUGGCAGUGGAAACUGAAAGGCUUGAGUAUGGUAGGGGCAGAGGGAAUUCCCGGUGUAGCGGUGAAAUGCGUAGAUAUCGGGAAGAACACCAGUGGCGAAGGCGCUCUGCUGGGCCAUUACUGACGCUCAUGGGCGAAAGCCAGGGGAGCGAAAGGGAUUAGAUACCCCUGUAGUCCUGGCCGUAAACGAUGAACACUAGGUGUCGGGGGAAUCGACCCCUUCGGUGUCGUAGCUAACGCGUUAAGUGUUCCGCCUGGGGAGUACGCACGCAAGUGUGAAACUCAAAUGAAUUGACGGAAUCACUAGUGAAUUCGCGGCCGCCUGCAGGUCGACCAUAUGGGAGAGCUCCCAACGCGUUGGAUGCAUAGCUUGAGUAUUCUAUAGUGUCACCUAAAUAGCUUGGCGUAAUCAUGGUCAUAGCUGUUUCCUGUGUGAAAUUGUUAUCCGCUCACAAUUCCACACAACAUACGAGCCGGAAGCAUAAAGUGUAAAGCCUNNNGUGCCUAAUGAGUGAGCUAACUCACAU